UUUCCGUAGGUGAACCUGCGGAAGGAUCAUUAAAAAUGAAGCCGGGAAACCGGUCCUUCUCACCCUUGAUUAUCUCAAAUUGUUGCUUUGGUGGGCCGCGCAAGCACCGGCUUCGGCUGGAUCGUGCCCGCCAGAGGACCACAACUCUGUAUUAUAUGUCGUCUGAGUACUAUAAAAUAGUUAAAACUUUCAACAACGGAUCUCUUGGUUCUGGCAUCGAUGAAGCGCAGC
rnacentral:misc_RNA from 1 species